UCAGAACGAACGCUGGCGGCGUGCUUAACACAUGCAAGUCGGAUGCGAACGGCGCUUUCGGGCGUUGAGUAGCAUGGCAGACGGGUGAGGAGCGCGUAUCCGACUGGACUCAGGCUGGGGGAUAGUCCCUCGAAAGGGGGUUGAAUACCGCAUGUGCUCGGUGCUGUGAGGGCAUCGAGGAAAGUUGGCCUCUGCGGGCACGCUGAUGGCCUGAGACAGGGAUGCGUCCUAUUAGCUAGCUGGUGGGGUAAGGGCCUACCAGGGCGACGAUGGGUAGCUGGUCUGAGAGGAUGAUCAGCCACACUGGGACUGCGACACGGCCCAGACUCCUACGGGAGGCAGCAGUGGGGAAUUUUGCGCAAUGGGCGCAAGCCUGACGCAGCAACGCCGCGUGCAUGACGACGCCUUUCGAGGUGUAAAGUGCUGUCGACCGGGACGAAGGGGCGAGGGUGAACAGCUUUCGCGCAUGACGGUACCGGUGGAGGAAGCCCCGGCUAACUCCGUGCCAGCAGCCGCGGUAAGACGGAGGGGGCGAGCGUUGUUCGGAAUUACUGGGCGUAAAGCGCGCGUAGGCGGUGCAGCAAGUGGUGCGUGAAAGCCCUCGGCUUAACCGGGGACGGGCGUGCCAAACUGUUGGACUGGAGUGCCGGAGGGGGAGGCGGAAUUCCUGGUGGAGCGGUGAAAUGCGUAGAGAUCAGGAAGAACCGUCGGUGGCGAAGGCGGCCUCCUGGACGGACACUGACGCUGAGGUGCCGACAGCGUGGGGAGCGAACGGGAUUAGAUACCCCGGUAGUCCACGCCG
rnacentral:rRNA from 1 species